AGUGUGUGCCACUAUCCUGACUGUUGCUGGAUUUCUUACUAUGAAAGUUUAGUUAUUUUUGUCACAAGUAGUGGAAAGGGAAAAUGAACUAGGCAGUAGUCUUCAAAUUAAGAUGAAGAAAUCUCUCUGAACUUCAAGGAAAUUUUUAAUUGAGUAAAAAAUUUAAGAGCACAUGAAAAUAGAAUUCAGAGCUGUG